ACUUGUUUCUGCUACAGACAAUACUGAGCUGGGACCAGCUUAAACCAAUUUCACACUAUGUGACAGAACCUGUCAAGAAGGCAGUAUACUAUACUCUUUUCAUAUGACACAUCAUGGUUGAAAAGCCUUCUUUUGCUGAUCCACAUUCUUGUGCUUCUUGAAGGAGUCAGCUGAGAGGAGUUUUAGUGUUCAACAGUUUUUACGUAUUUCUAUGAUCUGGGAAAUUAAGAAAAUGUUGCUGCUGUAAGGCUCCAUCUUUCUGAACUG